rnacentral:rRNA from 1 species
UACAGAGGGUGCAAGCGUUAAUCGGAAUUACUGGGCGUAAAGCGCGCGUAGGUGGUCUAUUAAGUCGGAUGUGAAAGCCCUGGGCUCAACUUAGGAAUUGCAUUCGAUACUGGUAGGCUAGAGUAUGGUAGAGGGAAGUGGAAUUUCCGGUGUAGCGGUGAAAUGCGUAGAUAUCGGAAGGAACACCAGUGGCGAAGGCGACUUCCUGGGCCAAUACUGACACUGAGGCGCGAAAGCGUGGGGAGCAAACAGG